ACGGUCUGAAAGUCACCGCUGGCCUCCUGUGGCCCCUGGUGAGAUAACUGUGCCCACAGCAUAGGGAGCAUUAAGCUUAUUGCCCACGAUACUGGUGUGUGGGGAGUGAAACCCAUGUUCCCAUAACU
ensembl:snoRNA